rnacentral:rRNA from 1 species
GGUUAGUCCCGCAACGAGCGCAACCCUUCGUCAUUAGUUGCUACAUUCAGUUGGGCACUCUAAGGAGACUGCCGGUGUUAAACCGGAGGAAGGUGGGGAUGACGUCAAGUCCUCAUGGCCCUUAUGUCCAGGGCUACACACGUGCUACAAUGGCCGGUACAAAGGGCAGCAAAGCCGCGAGGUGGAGCCAAUCCCAGAAAGCCGGUCUCAGUUCGGAUUGGAGUCUGCAACUCGACUCCAUGAAGUUGGAAUCGCUAGUAAUCGCGGAUCAGCAUGCCGCGGUGAAUACGUUCCCGGGCCUU